UACGAAGGGGGCUAGCGUUGCUCGGAAUUACUGGGCGUAAAGGGCGCGUAGGCGGUUUUAUAAGUCAGGCGUGAAAUUCCUGGGCUUAACCUGGGGGCUGCGCUUGAGACUGUGGGACUUGAGGUCAGAAGAGGGUCGUGGAAUUCCCAGUGUAGAGGUGAAAUUCGUAGAUAUUGGGAAGAACACCGGUGGCGAAGGCGGCGACCUGGUCUGAUACUGACGCUGAGGCGCGACAGCGUGGGGAGCAAACAGG
rnacentral:rRNA from 1 species